CUGAUACUGAUAGUAAGGUACUAAUAUAUAUAUAUAUGACGACUACUGUGAUAGUCGAGUUUGGCAUAUUUUUACACCGUUAUUGCUAGGAUUUCAAACUCCUGUGGUCUAACAAUUAUAUUUGCGCUGUAACAGAUCAUGCAGGUUAGUAACGUGUCUUUAAUGUUUAUGUGUUGUGGGGCAGGCGUUAUCUGAUGAACUCCCGAUUUAUAAUUAAAUUUUCCUUAAAAGGGUAUACAUCGGUAAUUGUGUAUCUAGAUCUUUCAUAGCACAUAUACAGCAAAUAUUCCAUGAAAGGAUAUGAACGUUCAAAGGUGUAAAAGGGACGUACCCUUUGGGGCGAAAGGACCCAGGUUCGUAACUGGAAGUUCAACUUUCGAUACAAAUAAACAAAAAUCUUGGAAAUCUUGCACAUAGACCAUGCCCGGAGUUAAGAAGCAGUAGCCAAAAAUCGUCAUGUCUAAAUGUUAGCAUGCUGGUGGAGUUAAGCAAACAUAUAUCAUUAUCUGUAUAUAUCCUGCUAUAAAUUUUGCGUGUACCUACACACUUGUUACUAAAAACUGUCAGAGUGUCGAGUCUGUCACAUCAGUCAUCACAGUGACAUGUAUAGUUGCUACUACUCUCUAGCCUAGACUAGGUCGAUAUGCACAAUGUUGGGAAGAUCAGUUAGAAAGCGAAAAGUGCGACCUUGCUCUGCCACAGAACACCACCAGGGUUGUAACAGUUGGACCAGAGACAUAGACAACAAUGACACACCAGUUUUUACAAAUGGGUCACCAGACUGAACUGGAUUCACGACUCAUCACUCCACUAACUGCAACUCCUUUAGGUCACAUACAUUUGUACAUUGGAUCAUCAUCAGACGUCAUUUAUGCAAACCCACAGAGCUCUUCAUUAGUAUGUUCCAGUUAACCAGGUAAUCAUCAUAUUUACAAAAGCAGUAUAUUACUUUUAAGUUAAACCCCUACAUGUGCAUGUGAUUCUAACAUAUAACAAACAUAUGUAUAAAGAUUAAGGCAACUUUUAUUUUUUUUUCCAAUCUUAUGGUUUAGAUUUAAAAGAUUUGUGUAAUGAUUAUAUCUCAGUUUUUAAACUUAAAUCCACAAAAUAUUGCUGAAUGUGUUAUUUUUACAAUUUAUAGAGGAUGCCACAUCAUGCGUUAGAAAUAAAAAACAAUUCUUAAAUAUAAGGUUACAAUUAUAUAUUAUUAUAAAUAUAUUACAUGUGAAACUUUUAAAUGUUGUUUUGUAUAUUAUCAUAUGAUUUGUGACAUAUGAUUUGUAAUGGAGAACACUAUUGACUAAUAUAAUAUUAUUUAUCUUGAUACAUAAUCUGAAUAUUACAAAUCGAUAUGCAUGUACUGCAUGAAUACAGAUGUUGCAAUAAAGUACCACAAUUAUAAAG